rnacentral:rRNA from 1 species
GAUGAACGCUGGCGGCGUGCCUAAUACAUGCAAGUCGAGCGAACAGACGAGGAGCUUGCUCCUCUGACGUUAGCGGCGGACGGGUGAGUAACACGUGGAUAACCUACCUAUAAGACUGGGGUAACUUCGGGAAACCGGAGCUAAUACCGGAUAAUAUAUUGAACCGCAUGGUUCAAUAGUGAAAGACGGUUUUGCUGUCACUUAUAGAUGGAUCCGCGCCGCAUUAGCUAGUUGGUAAGGUAACGGCUUACCAAGGCAACGAUGCGUAGCCGACCUGAGAGGGUGAUCGGCCACACUGGAACUGAGACACGGUCCAGACUCCUACGGGAGGCAGCAGUAAGGAAUCUUCCGCAAUGGGCGAAAGCCUGACGGAGCAACGCCGCGUGAGUGAUGAAGGUCUUCGGAUCGUAAAACUCUGUUAUUAGGGAAGAACAAAUGUGUAAGUAACUAUGCACGUCUUGACGGUACCUAAUCAGAAAGCCACGGCUAACUACGUG